UACGAAGGGGGCUAGCGUUGUUCGGAAUCACUGGGCGUAAAGCGCACGUAGGCGGCUUUGCAAGUUAGAGGUGAAAGCCCGGAGCUCAACUCCGGAAUUGCCUUUAAAACUGCAUCGCUAGAAUUGUGGAGAGGUAAGUGGAAUUCCGAGUGUAGAGGUGAAAUUCGUAGAUAUUCGCAAGAACACCAGUGGCGAAGGCGGCUCACUGGCCCGGUACUGACGCUGAGGUGCGAAAGCGUGGGGAGCAAACAGG
rnacentral:rRNA from 1 species